rnacentral:rRNA from 1 species
AUAAUUCACAAUGGGGGAAACCCUGAUGGUGCAACGCCGCGUGGAGGAUGAAGGUCUUCGGAUUGUAAACUCCUGUCAUCUGGGAGUAAGACCUGACGGUGAAUAGCCGGCAGGGUUGAUAGUACCAGAAGAGGAAGGGACGGCUAACUUCGUGCCAGCAGCCGCGGUAAUACGAAGGUCCCAAGCGUUGUUCGGAAUCACUGGGCGUAAAGGGAGCGUAGGCGGCGUGGUAAGUCAGAUGUGAAAUCCCGGGGCUCAACCCCGGAACUGCAUCCGAUACUGCCAUGCUUGAGGGUUGGAGAGGUAGCUGGAAUUCUCGGUGUAGCAGUGAAAUGCGUGGAUAUCGAGAGGAACACUCGUGGCGAAGGCGAGCUACUGGACAACAUCUGACGCUGAGGCUCGAAGGCUAGGGGAGCAAAAGGG